GGUGCUAAUACCGGAUAAGAAAGCGGAUCGCAUGAUCAGCUUUUAAAAGGCGGCGUAAGCUGUCGCUAUGGGAUGGCCCCGCGGUGCAUUAGCUAGUUGGUAAGGUAAAGGCUUACCAAGGCGAUGAUGCAUAGCCGAGUUGAGAGACUGAUCGGCCACAUUGGGACUGAGACACGGCCCAAACUCCUACGGGAGGCAGCAGC
rnacentral:rRNA from 1 species